CCAGCAGCCGCGGUAAUUCCAGCUCCAAUAGCGUAUAUUAAAGUUGUUGCAGUUAAAAAGCUCGUAGUCGGACUUCUGACGUCGUGUGCUGUGGUCCGCCGCAAGGUGAGCACUACUGGCUGCACCGUCAUCCUCCUGAGGAGCAGUGCUGCUCUUAAUUGGGCUGGUGCUUGCGACUCAGGAUCUUUACUUUGAAAAAAUUAGAGUGUUCAAAGCAGGCCUUUCAGCUUGAAUACAUUAGCAUGGAAUAAUGGAAUAGGACUUUGGUUCUAUUUUGUUGGUUUCUAGGACCGAAGUAAUGAUUAAUAGGGAUAGUUGGGGGCAUUCGUAUUUAGUUGUCAGAGGUGAAAUUCUUGGAUUUAC
rnacentral:rRNA from 1 species